rnacentral:rRNA from 1 species
AACAGGAUUAGAUACCCUGGUAGUCCACGCUGUAAACGAUGUCGACUUGGAGGUUGUGCCCUUGAGGCGUGGCUUCCGGAGCUAACGCGUUAAGUCGACCGCCUGGGGAGUACGGCCGCAAGGUUAAAACUCAAAUGAAUUGACGGGGGCCCGCACAAGCGGUGGAGCAUGUGGUUUAAUUCGAUGCAACGCGAAGAUCCUUACCUACUCUUGACAUCCAGAGAAUUUGCUAGAGAUAGCUUAGUGCCUUCGGGAACUCUGAGACAGGUGCUGCAUGGCUGUCGUCAGCUCGUGUUGUGUAAUGUUGGGUUAAGUCCCGCAACGAGCGCAACCCUUAUCCUUUGUUGCCAGCACGUAAUGGUGGGAACUCAAAGGAGACUGCCGGUGAUAAACCGGAGGAAGGGGGGGAUGACGUCAAGUCAUCAUGGCCCUUACGAGUAGGGCUACACACGUGCUACAAUGGCAUAUACAAGGAGAAGCGAACUCGCGAGAGCAAGCGGACCUCAUAAAGUAUGUCGCAGUCCGGAUUGGAGUCUGCAACUCGACUCCAUGAAGUCGGAAUCGCUAGUAGUCGUAGAUCAGAAUGCUACGGUGAAUACGUUCCCGGGCCUUGUACACACCGCCCGUCACACCAUGGGAGUGGGUUGCAAAAGAAGUAGGUAGCUUAACCUUCGGGAGGGCGCUUACCACUUUGUGAUUCAUGGCUGGGGUGAAGUCGUAACAAGGUAACC